rnacentral:rRNA from 1 species
GAAUUUUGGACAAUGGGCGCAAGCCUGAUCCAGCCAUGCCGCGUGAGUGAAGAAGGCCUUCGGGUUGUAAAGCUCUUUCGGUCGGGAAGAAAUAGUUAUGGCUAAUAUCCAUAAUGAAUGGCGGUACCGACAUAAGAAGCACCGGCUAACUACGUUCCAGCCGCCGCGGUAAUACGGAGGGUGCAAGCGUUAAUCGGAAUUAUUGGGCGUAAAGGGUGCGCAGGCGGAUGUAUAAGUCAGAUGUGAAAUCCCUGGGCUUAACCUAGGAAUUGCGUUUGAAACUAUAUGACUAGAGUGUGAUAGAGGGGAGUGGAAUUCCAUGUGUAGCAGUGAAAUGCGUAGAGAUGUGGAAGAACACCGAUGGCGAAGGCAGCUCCCUGGAUUAACACUGACGCUCGUGCACGAAAGCGUGGGGAGCAAACAGG